UUGCUUCAGUUGUGUUCAGUCAUCCAGUCCUUUCCUGCUACACUUGCAAGAGGAAGCAAGCAAAACAUGAAUGAAAAGUCCCACUGGGCUGUUGAAGACUGGAACACCUGCAAAAAUUUGCGGCAAUAACCCCAGGGUAUUUUUGACUUGUUCUAUAUAGCAUUUGUUCAUUUCCCUUCUCCUAUGGUAUUCUGAAUAAGGCACUCAGUAUCAUCCACCCACUAGAAUAGAGGCAGAGAGAACAUAUAUGGCUUAAUUCGGGGCAUUAAAAAACAAAGCAUAACACCUAUGUACUUACUGGAUCAAACAUAAUUAUCCAAUGAUUCAGUCUUCUGGGGUACAUUUUCAAAUCUACUGAUCUCACAACUACGUUCCUGAACAAAGCAUGUAGAGUUGCAGACGUGCCCCAGAGCAAUGCUUGUUAGGUAGCUUGGAGUGUGUCGGGAUCUAUAAUCCAGGUAAAUAUUGGGGAGCUGCCUGGGACAGAGGUGGAAAGGCUUUGCCCAUUGUCUUUUUUUUCCAGGCACUUAGGACUUUGCAGAAAGAGGAAGGAAGCAGCAUGGAGGCUGAGAGCAAGGAGUACAACAUCUGACUGAGGAGGAGACUUAAGAUGUGUGGAGGUGAAAAAGCAAGCUCUGAAAGCCAAAUCAAUUGCAGAAAAGAUCCAGUGAAGCCUCAUGAACUCAGAUAUCUUCUUAAAGGUGGAGGACACAAAUAAAUGAGAUUUGGACACUCCAAGUAAUACAUACAUCGCAAUCAGAGGAGAAGAGGUGAGGAAAAAAAAAGUUAAAUGAUUAGAUGCUAAGUUCUGUGUAGUCACAGUUAGGUUUUUACACAUAAUCAGAUCUGCUAUAGUACAAAGAUAGUCUGAGUCUCUCUGCACUGUAUUAUCAGCAGUGGUAUACUUAAUGAAAGAUAGGUAGGUUGUGUAAGCACUUUUGGGAAUUGCUAGCUUUGUUCCAGAACUGUGGUUUGUUUUUCUUUUUUAACCCAAACAUUUUUUUUGUUCCGUUUUUGGUGUUGCACACAGUUUCCUUCUCUCUUAACUGUUUGUGAGAGCACCUUUGUCUCAUCCCUACUGGUGUUCCCCUGUAACGAACCAUUUUCCAAUCCUCUUCCUGCUUUUGCCCUUGUAUAAAGCACCCAAGGCCCUUCAGACCCUGCAAAAAUCUCCUAUGGGACAUGCAUGUCACACAAUGCACUCCCAACAUGGCUAAAGUUGCUUUAAUCUUACUGCAUGCUUCUGACUUUUGUAAGGUAAAUGGGAAGGUCUGAGCCAGGCCUUUCCUCCAUU
rnacentral:lncRNA from 1 species